rfam:Physcomitrella patens subsp. patens PHYPAscaffold_62 genomic scaffold, whole genome shotgun sequence.
UAAGAGGCUUUUAUAAAAGCCAUUUUUAAAUAUCUUAAAUUAUUAU